rnacentral:rRNA from 1 species
AUUGAACGCUGGCGGCAGGCUUAACACAUGCAAGUCGAGCGGGGGAAGGUAGCUUGCUACUGGACCUAGCGGCGGACGGGUGAGUAAUGCUUAGGAAUCUGCCUAUUAGUGGGGGACAACAUCUCGAAAGGGAUGCUAAUACCGCAUACGUCCUACGGGAGAAAGCAGGGGAUCUUCGGACCUUGCGCUAAUAGAUGAGCCUAAGUCGGAUAGCUAGUUGGUGGGGUAAAGGCCUACCAAGGCGACGAUCUGUAGCGGGUCUGUGAGGAUGAUCCGCCACACUGGGACUGAGACACGGCCCAGACUCCUACGGGAGGCAGCAGUGGGGAAUAUUGGACAAUGGGGGGAACCCUGAUCCAGCCAUGCCGCGUGUGUGAAGAAGGCCUUAUGGUUGUAAAGCACUUUAAGCGAGGAGGAGGCUACUUUAGUUAAUACCUAGAGAUAGUGGACGUUACUCGCAGAAUAAGCACCGGCUAACUCUGUGCCAGCCGCCGCCGUAA